rnacentral:misc_RNA from 1 species
GUGAGUCAUCGAAUCUUUGAACGCACCUUGCGCCUUUUGGUAUUCCGAAAGGCAUGCCUGUUUGAGUGUCAUGUAGACUCAACUCUCGAGAGGUUUCUUGCGAGUUGGAUUUGGGUGUUGCCAUUUGGCUCGCCUUAAAAGCGUUAGUGGUUUAAGCACUUGAUCGGACGUGAUAAGUUUCGUCCGGCCGUGUGUCGUCGACCGCUCCUAAACCGCCUUGCGGCGCUCUUUGACUCUGACCUCAAAUCAGGUAGGACUACCCGCUGAACUUAAGCAUAUCAAUAAGCGGAGGA